rnacentral:lncRNA from 1 species
UGGUUCUUGCUACCAGAUUCAUCUCUCUCUCAAAUUGAAAAAGUUCAGAUGGAGUGGAAUUCCUUUGCGACUGAGUCUCCCAUAAAAGAAAAAUAUCUCAUUUGAAUCAAUCUAUGCAAACAAAUUCAGAAAGCUAUCUAGACUCCGAGAUGGAUACGACUCCAACUCUUCCUCUAUAAAUAAAGGAGCUUCGGGACCCUCAAGGUAGGCUCUCGACUCCCUACUCUUUCCUCUUAUUAUUCUCC